GCAAACUUGGUCAUUUAGAGGAAGUAAAAGUCGUAACAAGGUUUCCGUAGGUGAACCUGCGGAAGGAUCAUUAACGAAACUCCCGGGCGUGGCUCCCAGGGGGGAGGGAGGGCGCUGUGCUGGCGGUCACCCGCAACGUGCACGCCCCUCCCGACCUCCGCCCGCCCGGAUCCACACACCGACACCUGUGAACCUCGAUCGCGUCGGGGGCCCCCUCCCCAAGGGUCCCCCCCCCGGCGUCGACCCCCCUCUCACAUCAUCCUGUAAUGUCUCGUCGAACGUGCGCUUGCGUGAUCGCAACCGAAAUACAACUUUUAACAACGGAUCUCUUGGUUCUCGCAUCGAUGAAGAACGCAGC
rnacentral:misc_RNA from 1 species